GGGGGGUAAAUUAAUAAAUAAAUAAAAUAAUAAAAAUAAUUUUAAUAUAAAAUAUAAUAAUGGGGGUUAAAGUAUUUUAUAGAAAAAAUUAUAAAUUUUAUAGUUAAUUAGUAUUGUAAAAUAAAUUUGAAAUAAGUUAAAAAUUAAUUCAAUUAAAAGUAAAUUUAAAUUAUUGUAUCUUGUGUAUCAGAGUUUAUUAAAAAAAAUUUAUACAUAUAAAAGUUUCGAAUUUAAAAGAGAUAAUUAAUUAAAAAAGUUAAUGUAGUAUAAUUAUUUUAAAUAAUUAAUUUGAAAUGAAAUGUUAAUCGUUUUUAAAUAUAUCUAAUUUUUUUAGAAAAAAAUUCAAUUUUAAAAUUUUUUAUAAUAUAAAUAAAUUAAUAAAAUAAUUUAUAUUUAAAAAAUUUAAAUAUUUUAAGGGAUAAGCUUUAAAUUAAAAUUUUAUAAUAAAUAAAAAUACUUAUUUUAAAAUUUUUAAAAUUUAAAUUGUUUAAAAAUUAAAAUUUAUUAUAAAAUAUUUUAAGUUAAAUAAGAUUUUAUAAAAAUUUAAAUUUUUAUAAAAAAAUUUUAUUAAAUAAUUAAAUAAAAGAAAUAAUGAUAAAAUUAGUAUAAAUAAACAAUAAAAUAUAAAAAUUUUUGUUAAAUUAAUUAAAAGGAAUUCGGCAAAAUUAUAUAUUCACUUGUUUAUCAAAAACAUGUCUUUUUGGUAAUAAUUUAAAGUCUAAUCUGCCCACUGAUAAAAAUUAAAGGGCUGCAGUAUUUUGACUGUACAAAGGUAGCAUAAUCAAUAGUCUUUUAAUUGAAGACUUGUAUGAAAGAUUGAAUGAAAUAUAAACUGUCUCUAAUUUAUAUUUAAAAUUUAAUUUUUUAGUUAAAAAGCUAAAAUAAAUUUAAAAGACGAGAAGACCCUAUAGAGUUUUAUAAUUAAAUUAAAUUUUUUAUUAAUUAUUUAAUAUACAUAUAAAAAAUUUUUUAAUUAUUUUAUUGGGGUGAUAAAAAAAUUUAAUAAACUUUUUGUAAUAUUAAACAAAAAUAAUUGAUUAAAUGAUCCAUUUGUUAUGAUUAAAAGAUUAAAUUACCUUAGGGAUAACAGCGUAAUUUUUUUUUUUAGUUCAAAUAAAAAAAAAAGUUUGCGACCUCGAUGUUGGAUUAAGAUAAAAAUUAAAUGCAAAAGUUUAAAUUUUUGAUCUGUUCGAUCAUUAAAAUCUUACAUGAUCUGAGUUCAAACCGGUGUAAGCCAGGUUGGUUUCUAUCUUUAAAAAAAUAAAAUAUUUUAGUACGAAAGGAUCAAAUAUUUAAAAUAAUUUUAAUUUAAGAAUAUUAAUAAUUUUAGUUAUAUA
rnacentral:rRNA from 1 species